rnacentral:rRNA from 1 species
CGGGUUGUAAACUGCUUUUGUACGGAGCGAAAAGGCUCUCUCUAAUACAGGGGGCUCAUGACGGUACCGUAAGAAUAAGCACCGGCUAACUACGUGCCAGCAGCCGCGGUAAUACGUAGGGUGCAAGCGUUAAUCGGAAUUACUGGGCGUAAAGCGUGCGCAGGCGGUUUUGUAAGACAGGCGUGAAAUCCCCGGGCUCAACCUGGGAAUGGCGCUUGUGACUGCAAAGCUGGAGUGCGGCAGAGGGGGAUGGAAUUCCGCGUGUAGCAGUGAAAUGCGUAGAUAUGCGGAGGAACACCGAUGGCGAAGGCAGUCCCCUGGGAUAAGACUGACGCUCAUGCACGAAAGCGUGGGGAGCAAACAGGAUUAGAUACCCUGGUAGUCCACGCCCUAAACGAUGUCUACUAGUUGUUGGGGUAGCAAUACCUCAGUGACGCAGCUAACGCGUGAAGUAGACCGCCUGGGGAGUACGGUCGCAAGAUUAAAACUACAAAGGAAUUGACGGGGG